GACGGAGGGUGCAAGCGUUGUUCGGAAUUACUGGGCGUAAAGCGCGUGCAGGUGGCCUUUUAAGUCCUUUGUGAAAUUCCGGAGCUCAACUCCGGAUGUGCAUAGGAUACUGGAAGGCUAGAGACUGGUAGAGGCGAGCGGAAUUCCUGGUGUAGCGGUGGAAUGCGUAGAUAUCUGGAGGAACACCGGUGGCGAAGGCGGCAUCCUGGACCGGUAUUGACGCUGAGGCGCGAAAGCCAGGGGAGCAAACGGG
rnacentral:rRNA from 1 species